CGCUUCUUCCCCAAUCUCUCUCCCCCUCCGCCGCCACCCCCUCGUCUUGUCACUCCUCCUAGAUCGGCUCCUCUCUCGCUCCUCCGUGAUCCCCACCUAGAUUCGCUCCUCUCUCCCUCCUCUAUCCCCACCUAGAUUCACUCCUCUCUCCCUUCUCCUCGAUGCUGAUUUUUUAGAGCAAGCAGAUUGGAUCGAUGGUGACCGCAUGAGCGUGCCGCCACCGCAUGGAAUCGCCUUGCCGCUGCGUGGAGUCGCUUUGUCGCCGCCGCCCGUUGCCACUUGCCAGCAUGGUAACUUCGUCCCAACCACUGCUCACCUCCAGGUCCUCUCAUGUUGCUGCUUGUCGUGGUCAUCUUGUCCGCUGGGCGCUUGCUUCCUACUGACAUACUACAUGUGUGCUUGCUGCUACCGUAGUACAUGCAUGCUUGUUGUUUCCGUAGUACAUAUGUGGUUGCUAGGUGAUGGGCUGCGUGCUUGCGUGAUUGAUUUCCUUCAUCUUGCAGGUGCACACAUGCACCUAACAUCCAGGGAAGUCCACCAUCUGAACCACCACGACCAUCCCUCUUGGCUAGCACAAGCAGCGCCAUCGGCACUUCGGAAGUGAAGGUCUAUCUCAUGGACACCCAGGUUGAUAUACAGUUUUCUCAACACCCAGAUUUGUGGAGCAUGAUGUUGGACAAUUAGGAUGGGACUGCAUACCUUUAGAUUUUGGUGCUGAGAUUUGUGUGCCCCUCGCUACAUGUAAGCCACGUUUAUGAUGUUGAUCCUUCUGCUAUGGAUUGUAGUUUGGUUCCACUACUAGCGCCUUGAAGACUAAGGAUGGUGUUGUCCUGGCUGUGAGAAACGUAUCACCUCACCACUGCUGGUAUGAUUGCAUAGCGGGCUACUUGGUGCUGCCCAUCACAAUCUGCAUGACGUGAUAGAUAGCGUCCAUCAGGAGUGUCGAUGGCAAGAACAUGAAUAACUACUUCGAUAGUUUGAAUGUACAGUUUGUGUGAACUGGAUUGUACUAUUUCUUAAUUUUUUGAGUGAUAUUUUGUUAAGCUAUGUUGUAAAAUUACCAUUUUAUGGAGGUUUUUGUAAACUACUAUAUUGUAGAUACCUCUCGAUGGUUGAAUGAA